rnacentral:rRNA from 1 species
CGGACGGGUGAGUAACGCGUGGGUAACCUGCCUCAUACAGGGGGAUAACAGUUGGAAACGACUGCUAAUACCGCAUAAGCCCACGGCUCGGCAUCGAGCAGAGGGAAAAGGAGCAAUCCGCUUUGAGAUGGCCUCGCGUCCGAUUAGCUAGUUGGUGAGGUAACGGCCCACCAAGGCGACGAUCGGUAGCCGGACUGGGAGGUUGAACGGCCACAUUGGGACUGAGACACGGCCCAG